CUCCUGGGUGCACCAGCCAGCCCACAGCACAGAGCCUGCCUGUUGGUCUCUACCCACAGGGUGUCCCCUGCUGCUCCAGCAUCAGAUUUGGGACACCACCACCCCCGCCCCACCAGAGGGCAUCACCUAUGCCUAGCAAUUACGCCCCCGUGGCUAAAUUAAACUCCCAUUGGCUAAAUUAGGCCCGAAGAGAGGGGCAGCUGCUGCUAAGCUGUGUAUGUUGUCCCCCUAGGACUUCCACCGUUUGCUGAGCUCCACAUGACAACAGCAGACCACAGGCCGCACUGAUCCCACCUGGCUUACAGGUGCUGUCACACAGGUACGCCUUCUUGUGGAUCAUCAGUCACCAUUUGCCCUUCGCAACAACCCUGUCUUGGAGGAAGGUCUUUGCCGACACCCGCCUCUCCCACCCUUAGGCUCCCUUGCUCCUUCAUUCAACCAUUGUUUACAUUUCGUUCAGGACUGCUGACUAAACACUUUCAAGCACAGCGGACCCUUGAACAACGCAGGUUCAGACUGUACAGGUCCAUCCACAGGGAUGUUUUUCAAUCAGUUACACCAAGUGUCCCUGCCUCUCCUGCCUCCCUUCCCACCUCCUCCAUG
rnacentral:lncRNA from 1 species